rnacentral:rRNA from 1 species
AACGAACGCUGGCGGCAGGCUUAACACAUGCAAGUCGAACGCGUGUAGUAAUACACGAGUGGCGCACGGGGUGAGUAACGCGUGGAUAUCUGCCUUUUGGUUCGGAAUAACUCCGGGAAACUGGAGCUAAUACCGGAUGGUUCCUACGGGAUAAAGAUUUAUCGCCAAAAGAUGAGUCCGCGUACGAUUAGCUAGUUGGUGAGGUAAUGGCUCACCAAGGCGACGAUCGUUAGCUGGUCUGAGAGGACGAUCAGCCACACUGGGACUGAGACACGGCCCAGACUCCUACGGGAGGCAGCAGUGGGGAAUAUUGGACAAUGGGGGCAACCCUGAUCCAGCCAUGCCGCGUGAGUGAUGAAGGCCUUCGGGUUGUAAAGCUCUUUGGUCGGGGACGAUGAUGACGGUACCCGCAGAAUAAGCCCCGGCGUAACUUCGUGCCAGCAGCCGCGGUAA